rnacentral:rRNA from 1 species
UGGGGAAUUUUGGACAAUGGGGGAAACCCUGAUCCAGCCAUCCCGCGUGUGCGAUGAAGGCCUUCGGGUUGUAAAGCACUUUUGGUAGGAAAGAAACGUCAUGGGUUAAUACCCCGUGAACCUGCCGGUUCCUGCCGAAUAAGCACCGGCUAACUACGUGCCAGCAGCCGCGGUAAUACGAAGGGUGCAAGCGUUAAUCGGAAUUACUGGGCGUAAAGCGUGCGCAGGCGGUUAGGAAAGAAAGAUGUGAAAUCCCAGAGCUCAACUUAGGAACUGCAUUUAUAACUACCGGGCUAGAGUGGGGCAGGGGGAGGUGGAAUGCCGGGUGUAGCAGUGAAAUGCGUAGAUAUGAGGAGGAACACCGAUGGCGAAGGCAGACUCCUGGGAUAACACUGACGCUCAUGCACGAAAGCGUGGGGAGCAAACAGG